CGAGGGACACACACUUUCACAAUGAGAGAGAGAGAGAGAGAGAGAGAGAGAGGAAAGCAGGCCCGGACAUCUGCAUGAGAGCAUCUCAUUCCACACACCGGCGUUAAAACGACAAGAAACACACACACACUCGUCCACCAGAGCCUUUUCACUGACAGACUCCACAUAGAUUUUGGAUAUAAACAAAUUAAUCAUAUGCUUGAUUACUAUCCGUGAAGGAGGGAUGAAAGGACGGAGGGAUGGGUGGAUGAGUGUGGCGUAUGGCGGCCAUUACGGCUCAUUGUGGCCCAACGGCACGAGCCGAGAGAAAAGCUGAAGUGUGUGUGUGUGUGUGUGUGUGUGUGCUGCCCCUCCCCCACCCGUGUCUUGCGCCUCCCCCUCCCAGGUCUCUAUUCAACAGUUGCUACUGACUCUGACAGGAUUUUCCACACGCCAGCUGCCGACCGCUGUGUGUGUGUGUGUGUGUGUGUGUGUGUGUCAGUGGGGAUUCCACUUCUGUCAGCCACAGCAGAGAGCCUAAAGACGGCCAUCUUGUCUGCCUCGUGUAAUUUAGUGUAUACGUGCAAGUGCAUAAGCCCGCAUGCCCGUGACCCUGUUCUUCAGGGUCAAAGUUAAAGCUGCAAAAAGGCGAAAAAUAAUUGAAAAUCCUUGAAAUAGACGACUCUUUGGGGAGCUGAAGGUCAAGUCAAUGUCAGUGGAGACUUCAGAAGCAGAACCAGAAGAUAUUAAUAUAAAUCUGAAACACACUGACUGGCAAUUGUACCGUGACCAUGAUCUUCAGGGGGUCAUCUUGCUAACUAGCGCAUUUUUCCAAUUUAAGUAAAACUUAUUCUAGCCUAGCUAGCUCUUAGUAAAUAUAACGGAAGCUAGUCAGUUAGCUCUUACGAAGUAACCCUUUGAAUUUUUACUGAUAGAGAUAGAUAGUGAGUAGAUGGGACAUGAGAGGACCAUCGACUAUGCAAGAGGUAGUGUAGCUAGCUAGCAAACUAGCAGCUAGCCAUUAGGAGGAUAAGGCAACAAUGUUUUAUAUAAGAAGGGAUUAUACAAUGACAUUCAAGGGCUUAGCUUGCUAACUAGCAUUUUUUUGUUUUUGUUUUUUUUUUCACUAUUCAAGUCAGCUAUCUCUUAGUAAAUAUGAAGGAAACAACCUAUUUUUUUUUUACUGAUGUUAAAUAUUAAACACAAAAUGGACAUAAAUACAGCUACAAAUGAGCUGCUAGGAGUAGCUAGCUAGCAAAUUAGCAGCUAGCUAUUGGGGGAUACGUUUAUUAUUAUUAUAGAUAGUCACAUAAUAUAUUCAUAUGAAAAAAAGACUUGGUAUGGCCCACUGUAGGGGUGUUAGAAAUGUAAUACACACAUGUUUGUGGAAACAUCUGAGCUGUUACUAAUAAAAAAAAAAAGAAA